rnacentral:rRNA from 1 species
AGAGUUUGAUCAUGGCUCAGAUUGAACGCUGGCGGCAGGCCUAACACAUGCAAGUCGAGCGGUAACACAGAGAGCUUGCUCUCGGGUGACGAGCGGCGGACGGGUGAGUAAUGUCUGGGAAACUGCCUGAUGGAGGGGGAUAACUACUGGAAACGGUAGCUAAUACCGCAUAACGUCGCAAGACCAAAGUGGGGGACCUUCGGGCCUCAUGCCAUCAGAUGUGCCCAGAUGGGAUUAGCUAGUAGGUGGGGUAAUGGCUCACCUAGGCGACGAUCCCUAGCUGGUCUGAGAGGAUGACCAGCCACACUGGAACUGAGACACGGUCCAGACUCCUACGGGAGGCAGCAGUGGGGAAUAUUGCACAAUGGGCGCAAGCCUGAUGCAGCCAUGCCGCGUGUAUGAAGAAGGCCUUCGGGUUGUAAAGUACUUUCAGCGAGGAGGAAGGCGUUAAGGUUAAUAACCUUGGCGAUUGACGUUACUCGCAGAAGAAGCACCGGCUAACUCCGUGCCAGCAGCCGCGGUAAUACGGAGGGUGCAAGCGUUAAUCGGAAUUACUGGGCGUAAAGCGCACGCAGGCGGUCUGUCAAGUCGGAUGUGAAAUCCCCGGGCUCAACCUGGGAACUGCAUUCGAAACUGGCAGGCUAGAGUCUUGUAGAGGGGGGUAGAAUUCCAGGUGUAGCGGUGAAAUGCGUAGAGAUCUGGAGGAAUACCGGUGGCGAAGGCGGCCCCCUGGACAAAGACUGACGCUCAGGUGCGAAAGCGUGGGGAGCAAACAGGAUUAGAUACCCUGGUAGUCCACGCCGUAAACGAUGUCGACUUGGAGGUUGUGCCCUUGAGGCGUGGCUUCCGGAGCUAACGCGUUAAGUCGACCGCCUGGGGAGUACGGCCGCAAGGUUAAAACUCAAAUGAAUUGACGGGGGCCCGCACAAGCGGUGGAGCAUGUGGUUUAAUUCGAUGCAACGCGAAGAACCUUACCUACUCUUGACAUCCAGAGAACUUAGCAGAGAUGCUUUGGUGCCUUCGGGAACUCUGAGACAGGUGCUGCAUGGCUGUCGUCAGCUCGUGUUGUGAAAUGUUGGGUUAAGUCCCGCAACGAGCGCAACCCUUAUCCUUUGUUGCCAGCGGUCCGGCCGGGAACUCAAAGGAGACUGCCAGUGAUAAACUGGAGGAAGGUGGGGAUGACGUCAAGUCAUCAUGGCCCUUACGAGUAGGGCUACACACGUGCUACAAUGGCAUAUACAAAGAGAAGCGACCUCGCGAGAGCAAGCGGACCUCAUAAAGUAUGUCGUAGUCCGGAUUGGAGUCUGCAACUCGACUCCAUGAAGUCGGAAUCGCUAGUAAUCGUAGAUCAGAAUGCUACGGUGAAUACGUUCCCGGGCCUUGUACACACCGCCCGUCACACCAUGGGAGUGGGUUGCAAAAGAAGUAGGUAGCUUAACCUUCGGGAGGGCGCUUACCACUUUGUGAUUCAUGACUGGGGGUGAAGUCGUAACAAGGUAACCGUAGGGGAACCUGCGGUUGGAUCACCU